GCUUCGCCUCCACUCCACCACCUCCUCUCUGCCUCGGCGUCCACCAUUUUCGUACCCGCCCCGAGCGCCCCCCCUCGCCUUCCCGCUGGCCUCGCGUCCCCGAUGGCGGCGACGGCGGCGGUGGCGAUCCACCAGUUCGCCGAGUGCAUCACCUGCCACGCCUGGAGCCCCGACCAGUCCAUGAUUGCCUUUUGUCCAAACAACAAUGAAGUGCAUAUUUAUAAGUUUUUCACAGACAAGUGGGAGAAACUUCAUGUUCUGUCAAAGCAUGAUCAAAUAGUUUCGGGAAUAGAUUGGAGUAGAUCAUCCAACAAAAUUGUAACAGUUUCACAUGAUAGAAAUUCAUAUGUUUGGACACAAGAAGGAUCUGAUUGGAUUCCUACCCUUGUUAUUCUAAAGUUAAACCGUGCAGCUCUGUGUGUUCAAUGGAGCCCGAAAGAAAACAAGUUCGCGGUGGGAAGUGGUGCCAAAUCUGUGUGUGUUUGCUACUAUGAACAAGAAAAUAACUGGUGGAUUAGCAAGGUUAUCAGGAAAAGGCACGAAUCUUCUGUCACUAGUCUCGCAUGGCAUCCAAACAAUAUAUACCUUGCAACAACGUCUACUGAUGGUAAAUGCAGAGUAUUCUCUACUUUUAUCAAGGGUGUGGAUACAAGGGGAUCACAAUCAAGCACUUCAACUGAUUCAAAAUUUGGAGAGCAAAUUGCUCAACUUGAUCUAUCAUCUACCUGGGUAUUUGGUGUAAGGUGGUCAGCAAGUGGAAAAACAUUGGCAUAUGCAGGGCACAACUCCAUGAUUUAUUUCGUUGAUGAAGUUGAAUCGGCUCCUGCUGCACAAAAUUUGGCGCUGCGUGAUCUGCCUCUCCGUGAUGUUCUUUUUGUCUCUGAGCGCACGGUGAUUGGUGUCGGAUUUGACUGCAAUCCUAUGAUCUUUGCUGCUGAUGAGACUGGACUUUGGAGUUUUGUAGGAUUCUUGGAUGAGAGGAAAGCUACUCCAUCAACUUCAAAAGCCUCUCAGGUAUAGUGUUUUUUCUUCAUCAUUAUUAACUUGUGUUAGUCAGUGCUUAUGCACAUUAUACCUUGUCGUUAUUGUUCUAUUGUAUAAGGGUGCUAUUCAGUUCAUCAAAGGGUUGCUUUUUCCUGCAUGGGUGAGUGUUAGGUGAAUUGCUGUUUCGAUAUUGCAGGCCCUGCUUGCAAAACAGUUUGGUGGGCUAUCUGAUUCUGGAUUUCCUUUGAGUCGUAAAGUAUAACCAAACAUUUAUGCUUCUGGUUUUUGUUAAGGCUUUGUUUGGAUGCACCCAACACCAGUCUACUGCAAUGGUGGGCUGGGCUUGGGCCAUAGCAGGCUCUAAUGGAAAUGUUGUCAAAAAGAUUCACAGUGUGUUCUAGUUUUUGACUGGUUUGGAAAAUCGGCACUAGGUUACUAGACAAAGCAGACAUGGUCAGUCUCUCUGAAGCCCUUGGAAAGCUAUAUGGCCAAUCAAAGCAAGGGACCAGUAGUGAUUCCGUUGAACCAUCAAAGCCUCGUGGUGGUGCCCACGAGAAUUGUAUAACCUGCAUCGUACCGUUGACAAAAGGACGUGAUGGUACUAUAAAACGAUUCAGCACAUCAGGAUUGGAUGGUAAGAUUGUGGUAUGGGAUUUGGAAAACCAUAUCACAGUUGCAAAAUAACUCAAAGGAAGGUUCCAUAUCAAUCAAAUUGAAUGAACUUGUGCUGUUACCCAUCGUAAUCAGGGACCAUUCUUGGCAGCGGGUCCUGCAGGUUUUCAAGAUCCAGGGCCAGCCAGGUAGAUUGCUUAUUUUGUUGUACCUGUACACAAAAACAUUUCUUUAGCGUAGGAGCAGCUUGCAUCUAUCAAGUAGCAUCAUUUUUGGUGAGUAAUUUUGUCUUCUGAAUCACAUAUAUUGUGUAACCUGUAUAAUUUUAGCUAGGUAGGCAAUGUCUUGAUUCGGCGUUUUCCAGUGUUCUUUCAGUGCCCCGUGUAAGAUAACCACACGUGGAAUUUAUCCGCGGAUGCUUUACUGGUACUUGUGGACAUCUUGUUUGUUC